rnacentral:rRNA from 1 species
UACAGAGGUCCCAAGCGUUGUUCGGAUUCACUGGGCGUAAAGGGUGCGUAGGUGGCUGGGUAAGUUUGAUGUGAAAUCUCCGGGCUUAACCCGGAAAUGGCAUUGAAUACUAUUCGGCUAGAGGUUUGGAGGGGGGACUGGAAUUCUCGGUGUAGCAGUGAAAUGCGUAGAGUAUCGGAGGAAGACACCAGUGGCGAAGG